GUCGAGAAUCUUUCACAAUGGGGGCAACCCUGAUGGAGCGACGCCGCGUGGAGGAUAAGGUCUUCGGAUUGUAAACUCCUGUCAUGCGUGAACAAGGUUGCUUGGUUAAUACCUGGGCAAAUUGAUGGUAACGCAAGAGGAAGAGACGGCUAACUCUGUGCCAGCAGCCGCGGUAAUACAGAGGUCUCAAGCGUUGUUCGGAAUCACUGGGCGUAAAGGGUGCGUAGGUGGCGUGGUAAGUCAGAUGUGAAAGCCCGGGGCUCAACCGCGGAACUGCAUCCGAUACUGCCAUGCUCGAGUACUGGAGAGGUGACUAGAAUUCUCGGUGUAGCAGUGAAAUGCGUAGAUAUCGAGAGGAAUACCAAAGGCGUAGGCAGGUCACUGGACAGUUACUGACACUGAGGCACGAAGGCCAGGGGAGCGAACGGGAUUAGAUACCCUUGUAGUCC
rnacentral:rRNA from 1 species